rnacentral:rRNA from 1 species
AGACCCGAAACCCGGUGAUCUAGCCAUGGGCAGGUUGAAGGUUGGGUAACACUAACUGGAGGACCGAACCGACUAAUGUUGAAAAAUUAGCGGAUGACCUGUGGCUGGGGGUGAAAGGCCAAUCAAACCGGGAGAUAGCUGGUUCUCCCCGAAAGCUAUUUAGGUAGCGCCUCGUGAAUUCAUCUCCGGGGGUAGAGCACUGUUUCGGCUAGGGGGCCAUCCCGGCUUACCAACCCGAUGCAAACUGCGAAUACCGGAGAAUGUUAUCACGGGAGACACACGGCGGGUGCUAACGUCCGUCGUGAAGAGGGAAACAACCCAGACCGCCAGCUAAGGUCCCAAAGUCAUGGUUAAGUGGGAAACGAUGUGGGAAGGCCCAGACAGCCAGGAUGUUGGCUUAGAAGCAGCCAUCAUUUAAAGAAAGCGUAAUAGCUCACUGGUCGAGUCGGCCUGCGCGGAAGAUGUAACGGGGCUAAACCAUGCACCGAAGCUGCGGCAGCGAACGUAUCACUUAAAGCGAUUCAGCGGAUGACGAUUGACGGAGCGAAGCGACGUCAAAGCGUAUACAAAGUCGAGUCGGU